GCGGCUGGGGUGCCCCAAGGCCCGGAUGUCUUGGGGCAGCAAAGGGGGAAGACCGGUGAAAGUCCGGCGCUGUGCCGCAACGGUAACCGGCCCGCGCAUCAAGCCCUUCGUCAUGGUCGGAAGCCCGAAUACCCGCCCCGGCGCGCGCCUCACC
rnacentral:ncRNA from 1 species